GAUGAACGCUGGCGGCGUGCCUAAUACAUGCAAGUCGAGCGAACGGACGAGAAGCUUGCUUCUCUGAUGUUAGCGGCGGACGGGUGAGUAACACGUGGAUAACCUACCUAUAAGACUGGGAUAACUUCGGGAACCCGGAGCUAAUCCCGGAUAAUAUUUUGAACCGCAUGGUUCAAAAGUGAAAGACGGUCUUUCUGUCUCUUAUAGAUUGAUCCGCGCUGCAUUAGCUAGUUCGUAAGGUAACGGCUUACCAAGGCAACGAUGCAUAUCCGACCUGAGAGGGUGAUAGGCCACACUGAAACUGAGAAACGGUCCAGACUCCUACGGGAGGCAGCAGUAGGGAAUCUUCCGAAAAGGGCGAAAGACUGACGGAGAAACGCAGCGGGAGUGAUGAAGGGCUUCGGAUCGUAAAACUCUGUUAUUAGGGAAGAACAUAUGUGUAAGUAACUGUGCACAUCUUGACGGUACCUAAUCAGAAAGCCACGGCUAACUACGU
rnacentral:rRNA from 1 species